GUGGUCCUACGGGGCGCAGCAGUGAGGAAUAUUGGUCAAUGGGCGGGAGCCUGAACCAGCCAAGUCGCGUGAAGGAUGACGGCCCUACGGGUUGUAAACUUCUUUUGUCAGGGAGCAAUUGGGUCCACGCGUGGGCUUCGCGAGAGUACCUGAAGAAAAAGCAUCGGCUAACUCCGUGUCAGCAGCCGCGGUAAUACGGAGGAUGCGAGCGUUAUCCGGAUUUAUUGGGUUUAAAGGGUGCGUAGGCGGAAUAUCAAGUCAGCGGUAAAAAUUCGGGGCUCAACCCCGUCGUGCCGUUGAAACUG
rnacentral:rRNA from 1 species